GGUUGUAUAGACAUACCAGCUUCAGAAGAACAAGUCACUGGGUUAUCAUACACUUGUAAAGAUUGUCCUCUUGGUUAUCAACUGAAUUCUAAAAAAACCAAGUGUGAAGAUGUUGAUGAAUGUAAGAUAACCCCACCUUGUGGUGCAUAUGCUAUAUGUGAUAAUAAUUACGGUAGUUUUGUUUGUAACUGCCCAAAAGGCUUCAGAAAAUCUGGAUCACUCAAUUGUGUUGACAUCAACGAAUGCUCAGAGAAAUCACAUGACUGUGAUCAAAUAUGUUUUAACACCUUAGGAAGUUAUGAUUGCAGAUGUUACACAGGGUUUACUAGGACUGGUGGCAAAUGUGAACUGACA